AACGAACGCUGGCGGCAUGCCUAACACAUGCAAGUCGAACGAGACCUUCGGGUCUAGUGGCGCACGGAUGCGUAACGCGUGGGAACCUGCCCUUAGGUUCGGAAUAACUCCCCGAAAGGGGUGCUAAUACCGGAUAAUGUCUUCGGACCAAAGAUUUAUCGCCUUUGGAUGGGCCCGCGUUGGAUUAGCUAGUUGGUAGGGUAAAAGCCUACCAAGGCGACGAUCCAUAGCUGGUCUGAGAGGAUGGUCAGCCACACUGGGACUGAGACACGGCCCAGACUCCUACGGGAGGCAGCAGUGGGGAAUAUUGGACAAUGGGCGAAAGCCUGAUCCAGCAAUGCCGCGUGAGUGAUGAAGGCCUUAGGGUUGUAAAGCUCUUUUACCCGGGAUGAUAAUGACAGUACCGGGAGAAUAAGCUCCGGCUAACUCCGUG
rnacentral:rRNA from 1 species